UAACGAAUCUUCCGCAAUGGGCGCAAGCCUGACGGAGCAAUGCCGCGUGUGGGAUGAAGCGUCUCUGACGUGUAAACCACUGUCAGGGGUUAGAAACAAUGAUCAACCCCAAAGGAAGUGGCGACUAACUCUGUGCCAGCAGUCGCGGUAAUACAGAGGCCACAAGCGUUAGUCGGAAUCACUGGGCUUAAAGGGUGCGUAGGCUGGUCCGCAAGCGUCUUGUGAAAGCCCUCGGCUCAACCGAGGAACAGCAGGGCGAACUGCGGAUCUUGAGGCAGGUAGGGGUCGCGAGAACAGUAGGUGGAGCGGUGAAAUGCGUAGAUAUCUACUGGAAUGCCGAUGGUGAAGACGCGCGACUGGGCCUGUCCUGACGCUGAGGCACGAAAGCGUGGGGAGCAAACAGGAUUAGAUACCCAAGUAGUCCCUGAGCGGGCUGGCAAGGCGCAU
rnacentral:rRNA from 1 species